AACGGAGAGGGCGAGUGUUACUCGACUUGACUGGGUGUAAAGGGUGCGUAGGCUGUUACUUAAGUAAUAAAUAAAAUCCUGCUAUUUAUUAUACUAUUUAACUCGAGUUAAUGAGAAGAUAACAGAAUCUUAAGUGGAAAGGUGACAUUUUUAGAUAUUUAAGAAACUCUCAAUAGGCGAAGGCAGUUAUCUAUUGUUACACUGACGCUGAGGCACAAAAGCGUGGGGAUCAAAUAGG
rnacentral:rRNA from 1 species